UCUAUAGCUCCUCCAGGAAGGGUGUAAAAAAAACUAUGGCUGAAUGAAUUCAAUUGCAUUAACAGCAGUUACAGAGCUGAAUCAUUGAAAUUCAGUGGCAGAACAAGAGUGGAGUGGAUGACCCUGGUGUCUUCAAUGUCUGAUCAUUAUCUAAGCUAUACACAGCACAUUCUUCAGCUUCCUGCAUGGACAACUAAUUCAAAGUGAUGUGGAAAAGAACAAUU
rnacentral:lncRNA from 1 species